rnacentral:ncRNA from 1 species
CAUGUUGGAUAGGAUAUGAAGGAUUUGUAAAAAUUUACUAUAAAUAUUUAGUUGUGGAUUUAAGUACUGAGGUAUUUUAUAUUAGUAUAAAGAACUAAUAUGUAAAGGUAUUUUCAGUCUAAAGUGAAAUUCAAUGAUUUAGGUUAAUAAAAGUUAAUAGAUUUAUAUUUAUAUUACUAAACUUGUGCCAGCAGUAGCGGUUACACAGGUAAAAUAGUUCAUAAUUUUAAUUUAAUUACAUGGGAAUUAUUUGACUAUAGGUAGAAUUAUUUAAUAAUAAUGAGUAAAUUAAAUUGAAAUAUUAAGUAAGACUAGGAUUAGAUACCCUACUAUUAAAUAUUUUAGGGGGGUAAUUGUUAUUCAUGAAACUUAAAAUUAAUUGGCGGUACUUUUAAAAUAGAGGAACUUAGGUCUUAAUCGAUAUUGCCCGUUCAGUUUAACUUUGAAAAUUUUUGUAUAUCGUUGUAUAAGUAAAAUCUUCUGAUUUUAUUAAAAGUAUUAUAGUAAAAAAUUCAAAUCAAGAUACAGAAAUUUUAAAGUAGGCGUGAGUUACUUUCUUUAAUCGGAGAUUGUUGUUUAAAUAAUAAGUUAAGGUGGAUUUAUAAGUAAUUUAUAGAAAAGUCUAUAAGUGAAUUUUUAAGUAAGUAAGUACAUAUCGCCCGUCAAUUUUAUUAUAUAAAAUAAGUCGUAACAAAGUAGUUUUACUGGAAAGUGAAGCUUUGAAAAUA